CUUCAUAUUUCUAUGAAGAUUAGACUAUAUCUUAAGAUAUAUACCCUAUAAUUAUAUAGUCGUUGAACCAACUCUAAUAAUUCUUAAAGUUAGCUGCGAAUUGUCCACGUUAUGGCUAUAUUUUAACGUACUAAAUUUUUUAUCUAGUUUUGUAUAAGCCAUUUUGGAUUUUCUCGCAAUUUAAUCAUAUUGCUUUCUUAAAUAUUUAAGAAAACUAACAUUGGUUAUUAGCCAAUAUUUUG
rnacentral:ncRNA from 1 species